CACGUAGGGUGCGAGCGUUGUCCGGAAUUAUUGGGCGUAAAGAGCUCGUAGGCGGUGUGUCGCGUCGGCCGUGAAAAACCUGCAGCUUAACUGUGGGCGUGCGGUCGAUACGGGCAUCACUGGAGUUCGGCAGGGGGAGACUGGAAUUCCUGGUGUAGCGGUGAAAUGCGCAGAUAUCAGGAGGAACACCCGGUGGCGAAAGGGCGGGGUCUCUGGGGCCCGAUACUGACGCUGAGGAGCGAAAAGCGUGGGGGAGCGAACAGG
rnacentral:rRNA from 1 species